UACAGAGGUCUCAAGCGUUGUUCGGAUUCAUUGGGCGUAAAGGGUGCGUAGGCGGCGCGGUAAGUCGGGUGUGAAAUCUCGGAGCUUAACUCCGAAACUGCAUUCGAUACUGCCGUACUUGAGGACUGGAGAGGAGACUGGAAUUUACGGUGUAGCGGUGAAAUGCGUAGAUAUCGUAAGGAAGACCAGUGGCGAAGGCGGGGUCUCUGGACAGUUCCUGAC
rnacentral:rRNA from 1 species